AGUCGAGCGAAUGGAUUAAGAGCUUGCUCUUAUGAAGUUAGCGGCGGACGGGUGAGUAACACGUGGGUAACCUACCCAUAAGACUGGGAUAACUCCGGGAAACCGGGGCUAAUACCGGAUAAUAUUUUGAACUGCAUAGUUCGAAAUUGAAAGGCGGCUUCGGCUGUCACUUAUGGAUGGACCCGCGUCGCAUUAGCUAGUUGGUGAGGUAACGGCUCACCAAGGCGACGAUGCGUAGCCGACCUGAGAGGGUGAUCGGCCACACUGGGACUGAGACACGGCCCAGACUCCUACGGGAGGCAGCAGUAGGGAAUCUUCCGCAAUGGACGAAAGUCUGACGGAGCAACGCCGCGUGAGUGAUGAAGGCUUUCGGGUCGUAAAACUCUGUUGUUAGGGAAGAACAAGUGCUAGUUGAAUAAGCUGGCACCUUGACGGUACCUAACCAGAAAGCCACGGCUAACUACGUGCCAGCAGCCGCGGUAAUACGUAGGUGGCAAGCGUUAUCCGGAAUUAUUGGGCGUAAAGCGCGCGCAGGUGGUUUCUUAAGUCUGAUGUGAAAGCCCACGGCUCAACCGUGGAGGGUCAUUGGAAACUGGGAGACUUGAGUGCAGAAGAGGAAAGUGGAAUUCCAUGUGUAGCGGUGAAAUGCGUAGAGAUAUGGAGGAACACCAGUGGCGAAGGCGACUUUCUGGUCUGUAACUGAC
rnacentral:rRNA from 2 species